rnacentral:lncRNA from 1 species
UAUCUUGCUUUAAGCUGACUUUUUCUUGAUACAAGAAAAAUGAUGCUUGGGUUAAGCAAAUAGUAGCUCAUAUUAACCAGAAAAACUCUUGAUUUAAGAAGAAAUACUUCUUGGCGGCAAAUUUAAGAUUCCUUUUUUUCCAGUGUAGUUCAUUUCGGUUGCCUUCUGAAUGUCCUGAGAGCGUUUCUUUAAAACAUUCCUAAGUACCCCAAAAACGGGCACAAAAUGGCCCUUUUCUGACAGGCACGAGCUUUUCAGCGUUCUCUUUUCUAUGUUUUCUGACAAAAUUUUUUCUCUGUUCCAGGAUCUUAGGAGGGAGAGGUCCAUCCUGAGGCGGGAUGCGGUGGUUCCAGAAGCCGGCGACGGACGCGCCGCGACUGCUGAGCCUGUCGCCGCUGCGGCACGACGCGCACCUGGACACGCAUGCGCACGGGCCCCACCGCGGACACGCCGGCCGCGGCUCCUUCCGACGGGACCCGACGCCACCCCCACUCCAAUCACACAGUUACGUCACAGAUCCAGGAUAGACAUCUCGCCAGCAGAAUGGCAGCGGAGCACGAGCACGGACCAAAACGACCUGAACUGCUACAACGUCAAAGAGGGCGUCGUCAUGCUGGAGACGCUCACAAACCCGCCCCCCGAGGGGGACGACGAAUCUAGUCAAAAACGCCGGCGCUCGCGCCCCCUCACCACCUCCCCCACCCCGACCCCAGCGACCUCCACAACCCCCUGGAAGGAGAAACGCAACCCCCUCCUCGAGAAAGUCAAGAACACGAAGCUCUCCUGCUUCAAGUCCUCGCUGAACGUGAACCAGGACUCCGGCUCGCGGGACCAGGACUCCGACUGUCAGAGGUUAAUUGACGGCGACGGGGACUCGAUCACCGGGGGCGGAGCCGGAGGCGAUCUAGUCGAGCGGGCAUCUAGUCGGGAGCCGGGUCUCCACCAGUCGAUACUCAACGAGAACGUGGCCUACGCGCGGGCCCAGGUCUACGAGAAACGCAUGGAGCGGGAGCGAGCCCAGGGCGGCGCCCAGGGCGACCCGCAGUUCAACUCCAGCUCGUGUCUUUCGGCCAAGAUCAGGGCCAUGUCCGAAAAGUACCUCAAGAACUCGACCAAUAAGAUUCUCGCUAAGUUGUAUAGGAGUACGAAUUCGAGCAAGGAGCCGCAGAAGAAGGGGACGAAGUUGAGGAGCUUCUCGUACGGCGCGCUCCCCGGGUUGGCGGAUUUCAGAAGAGGCAUAAUCCGCUGUACCAUGAGGAUGAAGAGGAGUUUAGUCCGACGUUCAGUCAGGAGAAGGAUGGGGAAGACUCGGAUUCGGGGAUUCUCGUCAAUGGUUCCAGUAACUCGUCUGUCGUUGAGGUAAUUCAUAUUUGUAUUUCAUGCUUGCGUUUUGACGUCAGGGACCAAGUCGGGCAUAAUGCCUGCCAUACAGAAACGAUAUACAUGUAUUUCAGGGGCC